rnacentral:lncRNA from 1 species
UUUGGGGGUACCAGGGUCCUUGCGCUUGCGCAGCAGGCGGCGAAACCACGGAGCUAAAUCCCCAGCCAAAAACGACUUUAUUAACAGGAAGGGAAGCACAUCAAUUGCAGAGACUCAAGGUUCUUGCUCUUAGGGCCAAAGGCUUAGGAAUGAUUUAACAUUUGUGGCUGGUAACAGGUUCAUCGCAAGAUACCCAGCGAAGCUCCCUGCCCAGGCACUGUCCUUCUUUUUUUUCCUUACUCCUUUUUCCGGUCCUGGGAUCCGACCCAGGACUUUGAGACGCCGGGCAGACCUACAUCCCCAGGAUGCCGUCCUCCUUGAGGGCCUCCUUGGACAUAGCUUUAACGGACACGGUGGCGACAAAACUAUUUCUGAAGACAUCCCUGAGCCACAGGCCUCUCUAGGCUAGAUUUCAAACAGGAGGAACAAAAUGGUUUACUCUGCAACUCAAUGCGCUCGCUUCACAGCAAGCUUCCCUCACGGCGAAGCCAGCACAGCGGUGACAAGGCCGAGCUGACUGUCGCCGCGGGUCCCCCCUUGACGCCACAACACGAAGUCGAUCGGAUCUCCCGGGCUGCUCGAAGCUUCCGGACCGACGGAUGAGGGGCCCCAGUGACAACGGCCCCACUGUUUAGUUUGUGAAACAAAGUUCUCUAAACCGGGAAGAUGUUACAGCCUCCCCAACGCGAUACCGGACUCGUUUUCCCUGGGCUGCCACUGCUGGGAAAGUUUCAGUAAAAGUUAGGGCUCGGGAUUCACAGUGAUACAGGUGUCCCCGAAACCUCCUCUGGGCCUCUCCGUGUCCACUCGGGCUGCGGAAUGCAGGGCCGGUCCUCGGGCAAUUCCCGGGGCCGCACCCAGGGCCCCGCGCGGAGAGGAUGGCAGCGCUCGGCCCGGAACCCGCGCCCCGUGAGUAGCGAGGCCCGUCCAGGCCGCCCCACCGGGGAGCGGGCGCCGCCCUCACAGAGGGAGGCGGAGGGGCUGCCGGGCCACGGAACGGGAGGGCCGAGCCCCGGGACGCCUGCCCCGCCCCGCCCCGGCCUCCCGCGCUCGGGCCAGGUCUCACAGAGCAGCGAGUCCCUCCGCGGCCUCUCCCAGCUCAAGAUGGCGGCGACAGGCGGCACUCCGUCGCCUCCGCCGC